rnacentral:rRNA from 1 species
UGGAGGAAAGUAGGGGAUCGUAAGACCUUGCGCUUUUGGAGUGGCCGAUGCCUGAUUAGCUAGUUGGUGGGGUAAGAGCCUACCAAGGCGACGAUCAGUAGUUGGUCUGAGAGGACGGCCAGCCACACUGGGACUGAGACACGGCCCAGACCCCUACGGGAGGCAGCAGUGGGGAAUUUUGGACAAUGGGCGCAAGCCUGAUCCAGCCAUGCCGCGUGAGUGAAGAAGGCCUUCGGGUUGUAAAGCUCUUUCAGCCGGGAAGAAAAGGCUGCGACUAAUAAUCGCAGUUCAUGACGGUACCGGAAGAAGAAGCACCGGCUAACUACGUGCCAGCAGCCGCGGUAAUACGUAGGGUGCGAGCGUUAAUCGGAAUUACUGGGCGUAAAGGGUGCGCAGGCGGUUUUGUAAGUCAGAUGUGA